AUUGUCUACUCUGGACUCCAUCACUCUGAUGUACCCUUUCUUUUACCGUCCUAUGUUUGAAGUGAUAGAAGAUGGCUGGCAUUCCUUCCUUCCUGAGCAAGAAUUUGAACUCUAUUCCUCAGCUACCAGUGAAUGGAGGCUAAGCUAUGUCAAUAAGGAAUUUGCUGUCUGUCCCUCUUACCCACCAAUUGUCACAGUGCCCAAAUCCAUUGAUGAUGAAGCUCUUCGGAAGGUAGCUACAUUUCGACAUGGAGGGCGCUUCCCAGUACUAAGCUAUUAUCACAAAAAAAAUGGGAUGGUA
rnacentral:lncRNA from 1 species